UCCUGGUCCACCGGGCAGCAC
rnacentral:misc_RNA from 1 species